GAUGAACGCUGGCGCCGUGCCUAACACAUGCAAGUCGAGCGAACGGACGCGAAGCUUGCUUUUUUGUUGUUAGCGGCGGACGGGUGAGUAACACGUGGAUACCCUACCUAUAAGACUGGGAUAACUUCGGGAAACCGGAGCUAAUCCCGGAUAAUAUUUUGAACCGCAUGGUUCAAAAGAGAAAGUCGGUCUUGCUGUCACUUCUAGAUGGAUAUGCGCUGCAUUAGCUAGUUGGUAAGGUCACGGCCUACCAAGGCAACGAUGCAUAGCCGACCUGAGAGGGGGAUAGGCCACCCUGGAACUGAGACACGGACCUGAGUCCUACGGGAGGCAGCAGUAGGGUAUCGGCCGCAGUAGUCGAAAACCUGACGGAGCAGCGCCGCGUGAGUGAUAGAGGUCCUGGGAUCGGAAAACUCUGUUACUAGGGAAGAACAGAUUUGGAAGUAGCUGUGCACUUAUUGACGGUAACGAAUCAGAAAGCCACGGCUAACUACGUG
rnacentral:rRNA from 1 species